ensembl:ncRNA C09D8.5 ncRNA
AUGGAUCAGUGAGAAAACAGGACCAUCUGUCAUGAAGCGUGUGAAUAGAUUAUGCACCGAAAAUGAAUCAUUUUCAUGAGGAAGAGAUGUAUUAUAAAAUGUAUGAAGAAGAGAAAUGAGGCGAUAAUUGUGGUGUUAUGUACAUAUAU